rnacentral:rRNA from 1 species
GACGGAGGGUGCUAGCGUUGUUCGGAAUUACUGGGCGUAAAGCGCGCGUAGGCGGACCUGCAAGUCGGGGGUGAAAGCCCGAGGCUCAACCUCGGAACUGCCUUCGAUACUGCGGGUCUCGAGUCCGGGAGAGGUGAGUGGAAUUCCUAGUGUAGAGGUGAAAUUCGUAGAUAUUAGGAAGAACACCAGUGGCGAAGGCGGCUCACUGGCCCGGUACUGACGCUGAGGCGCGAAAGCGUGGGGAGCAAACAGG